UACGAAGGGGGCUAGCGUUGCUCGGAAUCACUGGGCGUAAAGCGCACGUAGGCGGAUAUUUAAGUCAGGGGUGAAAUCCCGGGGCUCAACCCCGGAACUGCCUUUGAUACUGGGUAUCUCGAGUCCGAGAGAGGUGAGUGGAAUUCCGAGUGUAGAGGUGAAAUUCGUAGAUAUUCGGAGGAACACCAGUGGCGAAGGCGGCUCACUGGCUCGGUACUGACGCUGAGGUGCGAAAGCGUGGGGAGCAAACAGG
rnacentral:rRNA from 1 species